GGGGAGAGUUUGAUCUCCAUCGAGUAGUCAGUACAGAGAAGUCAUAGCUGGAACUCAAGACAACAACUGAUGCAGAGGCCAUGGCUCUAUCAGCUACUUUCUUAUACCCCAGGACCAUGGGCCCAGGGUGGCACUGCCCCUGUGGGAUGGACCCACCCACAUCAUCAGUUGAGAAAGUGUGUUCCAGGCUUGCCCACAAGCUAGUCUGGGAGGAGACUUCUUAAUUGAGAUCCCCUCUUUUGAAAUGACUAUCCUGUGUCAAGUUACAUAAAACUAGCAGGUAGCAUGAAUUUACUUUUGAACUCUUGUUGUCUGUAUUUUGACAAAACCACUCAGUGGCUGCAGAAACCUCCCCCUGAAAGCAAUGGAUUUUGAGAACACAGUCACCACGGAAUCUACACUGAUAAGUUACUGAUAAUGUUGAUAGUCACACAUUGCUACAUCUGUGCACUGAUUUGAAAACAAUCCUUGGGUGACAUUGUAAAAUCAGGAGAAAGGCUUAGGAGGACAGAGGUUGGAGUCCAGUGCCAACUCCUUCUGUGUUCUAUGAAUAGCAGCAAUGUCACCUAGACAAACUCUACCAGUGUUCAAACGUUUUCAUGGAGUAAGUAAACGGCCAGUGCUUCCUGUUGGUGAGGUGUAUUUGACUUAGGCUGGGCAGGAGUUAGAGACACACAUCAGACUAUAGGAAAUUCACUUUCUCACUAACAAAGGAUUUGUACCCAAAUAAAAUUACCAACCUGGUCCACUUAAAAUUUUGGUGUUAGGUUUGGGUGAUUUUAUUCAUUCUUUGGUUUCUGGUGUUAAGGGUUGUACUGACGACCUCGGUGUCCUGGAUGCUUGUCCUCUCUUGAUCCUCAGUGGGCAUUGUUAAGAAGAGUUCUGUCCACUCCCGGUCUGGAAAAAAGGCUCAGCAGUUAAGAGUGCUUCCUGCUUACGUACAGUGCCUCACAACCAUCUGUAACUCCAUUUCUCUUGGACCCAAUGCUCCAUUCUGGUCUGCAAGCAUUCUGCUUGCCUACAUGACAUCACUUAGGCAAACACAAAGAAGUUUUAGGUCACACAAAAGCAUUGCCUCCCUGAAGGUGGUCUGCAACAAGCAGUCUCCCCCGUUCUAUUAUAAUUCAUGGUCAGGUGGGCCACUGCCAGGGUAAGUAGUUAUAGAUAUAUACUUUCCAAACACAAUACAGCCAAAUCUGGAGCUGUGAUUCUGCUUCUUGUAUCCUAAGUUUUACAAAUGGAGGUCAGAGGAGAAUGCAUGGUUGGGUGUAGAACCACCAGAUGGCGGUAUGUGUGGACUAAAAGCAUUGAUUCCCUCUGCAGCGGGGAUGUUCCUUACCUUACUUCACAAAAGACAGGUUUUCUUUUUUUGGCAUCUGUUUUCUCUCUCUCUCUCUCUCUCUCUCUCUCUCUCUCUCUCUCUCUGUCUGUCUGUCUGUCUGUCUGUCUCUCUCCUGCUAAUGCAGAGGCUCAAGUUGCUGUACACAAUGUCAUUUUCGAUCUUUUUCCACUUUAUCGAGGCAGUAUCUCUCACUGGACCUGGAGUUUGCCAAUGCCGGCAAUCAGUCUAGCCAGCCAGCUUGCCCUGAGAAAGCUGUCUGUGCCUCCUGAGGACAGAUGGCCACCACCCUACAUUUCUGUGGGUUCUAGGGGUUCAUAUUCUUCACACUUGCAGGCUAGCACUAGAGCCCACUUAAACUCCCAAGCCUCCUUAAACUGCUUGAGGGUGAAUGAUGGAUAAAGUCAUUGUAGUCUUGGCAAGUGUGAUCUGGAACAUAGCUGGAUCUUCCAGAAACUAAGAUAUUAUAAAUGGAUUUCCAAGAGAGAUUGAAAUAAUCAUUAAGCUGCCAUGGGGAAAGAAGCUAGGGAAAAUCUUAAUGAAAAAAGAUUAAACUGGUCUAUUGAUUACCACUUCCUUGUUUUGACCAAGUCCCUGGCCAAAAGCAACUUCAGGGAGGAAGGAUUUAUUCUGUCUUACAGUUUGAGGAUGGCAGCAGGACUGAGGGAGGUUGGUCACAUGGUGUCAGUCAGGAAGCAAUGGAAACAAAUGCUGUGCUGAGCUUGCUUUCUUCUUUCCAUUCAGAACCCGAAGCCACCUCAUGUGCAUGUCCAGAGGUAUGUGUCCAUGCUCACUCUAAACCCAGGCAGCCGGUCAUGAAGAUUGUUCUCCCAGGAUGAGAAGACCACAGAGGACCACAGAAGACCUACAUCCAAAGGAUGACACUUCAGAACAGGCCAUUCAGGAAGGGGAAGCAGGAGCCACACCAAAGCCCUUGUCCCGUGAAAUCCAGCAUGAACCAGGUCCUAGAUUAAAGAUGAAUGACAUUUCGUGGGAAUUAUAGUUCCUGGCUUCUCCUGGGCCUCAUCUUCUCUCGAAUUCAAGAUUCAUUUUUCUCUUGCACAUGAAAGGUAGUAAGUGUGACAGUUAAUACUGUCCACCUGACAGGCUCUAAAAUCACCUGGGAGACAGGAUUAUCUAGAUUAGAUUAUUAAGGCAGGAAGAGAGUGAGCUGAACGGAACACCGCCAUCCUCCUCUGCUUCCGGACUGGUCCUGACUGGAAGCCACAUGACCAGAUGCUUGUCCCCCCCCCCCAGGGCUUCUUCACCAUGAAGGACUGCACCCUUGUGAGCCAAGAAAGCCCUUCCUCUCUUGAAUUGCUUCAGUCCGGGUGUUUGAUAAGUGAGCAAGCAGAGUAUGUUUCUGGGUCUACUCCCUGUCCUUAGUAGUUCAAGGGUCCAAAAGUUUUACUUCACUACAUGGAGCUGGGGUUACGGACAGUUGUGAGCUGCCUGAUUCAGUGCUGGCCAUUGAACCCGGGUCCUCUGGAAGAGCAGCCAGUGUUCUGAACUGCUGAACCAUCCGUCCAGCCCCCUGAGGCAGAAGGUGUAACUGAGCGUGGAAGUCGUGCCUCAACACAAUCAUAAAUCCCAACUCUCUCAGCAAAGACAGGUGAGUUUUUGUUCCAGAUGUUUAAGAAAACCUUAGUGCUGGGGCUGGAGAGAUGGCUCAGAGGUUAAGAGCACUGGUUGCUCUUCCAGAGGUUCUGAGUUCAAUUCCCAGCAACCACAUGGUGGCUCACAACCAUCAGUAAUGAGACCUGGUGCCCUCUUCUGGCAUGCAGGCAUAAAUGCAGGUAGAAUACUGCAUACAUAAUAAAAUAAAUCUUUAAAAAAUGAGGUUAUUAAAAAAAGAGAGAGAGGGAAAACCUUAGUGCUGACUGUAGCAAGCUUUUUGUUGGACAGUCUUUGGAUUACCAGCCCCCAAAUAACAACAUGAAGACUUCUUGUUAUGAAAGCUCUGCCUAUAACUUAGGCUUCUUCCUAACUAGCUCUUAUAACUUAAAUUAACUCAUAUUUUUAUUAAUCUGCAUUCUACCACAUGGCUUUUACUUCUAUCUCAUUCUGUGUGUCGGACUUGUUCUGCAUCUGGCUGGGCUUCUCUGCCUCUCUUCUUCCCAGAGUCCUCUCUGUGCCUGGAAGUCCCGCAUAUACUUCCUGUCUAGUUAUUGUCCACUUAGCUCUUUAUUAAACUAAUCAGAAGACAAAGACACAUCUUCACAAUGUACAGGAAGAUUAUUCCACAUCUGACUAAACUAAAAACUAUAGUCAUUUCCAAGAACAGAGAUGUACCUUCACGGCUUAGUUCAGAAACUCACUAAGUACCAGCUCCCAUAAUCAGAGGACUAAGAAAAGGGGACUAGAUCCUGUGACUCACAUUAUCCAGCCUGUCCAGUCUCCAGCAACAGAUUUCCAAAGCAUGCAAAGAAUGAGACAUAAUGCCUGCCUGCUUAAAUACCAAUAGGAAAUGUCUACACGAAGCCAGAACAUUGAACUUUCCAGACAGAAAUUCCAUAUCAGUUACUAUAAAUAUGUUCACAGGUUACCAUUUUUAAAGAAUUUUUUAAAGGUCUAAGAAUGAUGUCUUGGAAACAGUAUCACCGAAGAGAAUAUCUUAAAAAUGAACACAUAUAAAUUCUGUACUUGAAAAGUACAAUAGCCAAAACAAAAAUCUCAUCAAAAGAGCUCAAUGAUAGAGUUGAGGUAGAAAAGAAAUCAGUGAUUAUAUCAUUUGAGGAAGCCGGGGAAGAAAAUUUGUUUUUAAAAAUGAUGAAAGGAGCCUCAGAGAG
rnacentral:lncRNA from 1 species